rnacentral:rRNA from 1 species
AAAGGAAUAGACGGGGGCCCGCACAAGCGGAGGAGCAUGUGGCUUAAUUCGAUGCAACGCGAAGAACCUUACCUAGGCUUGACAUGUAACUGCACGAUCCGUGAAAGCGGAUUUUCUUCGAGAGUGUUACACAGGUGCUGCAUGGCUGUCGUCAGUUCGUGCCGUGAGGUGUUUGGUUAAGUCCACCAACGAACGCAACCCUUGCGUCUAUUUGCCAGCGGGUCAUGCCGGGAACUAUAGACGGACUGCCCAUUCAAAUGGGAGGAAGGUGGGGAUGACGUCAAGUCAGUAUGGCCCUUACGCCUAGGGCUGCACACGUGCUACAAUGGCCGGUACAGAAGGAAGCUAAACCGCGAGGUGUCGCAAAUCCCUAAAACCGGCCUCAGUUCGGAUUGGAGUCUGCAACCCGACUCCAUGAAGUUGGAUUCGCUAGUAACGGCACAUCAGCAUUUGGUGCCGUGAAUACGUUCCCGGGCCUUGUACACACCGCCCGU